AGUGAACGCUGGCGGUAGGCCUAACACAUGCAAGUCGAACGGCAGCACAGGAGAGCUUGCUCUCUGGGUGGCGAGUGGCGGACGGGUGAGGAAUACAUCGGAAUCUACUCUGUCGUGGGGGAUAACGUAGGGAAACUUACGCUAAUACCGCAUACGACCUACGGGGGAAAGCAGGGGACCUUCGGGCCUUGCGCGAUUGAAUGAGCCGAUGUCGGACAGAUAGUUGGCGGGGUAAAGGCCCACCAAGGCGACGAUCCGUCGCUGGUCUGAGAGGAUGAUCAGCCACACUGGAACUGAGACACGGUCCAGACUCCUACGGGAGGCAGCAGGGGGGAAUAUUGGACAAUGGGCGCAAGCCUGAUCCAGCCAUACCGCGUGGGUGAAGAAGGCCUUCGGGUUGUAAAGCCCUUUUGUUGGGAAAGAAAUCCAGCUGGCUAAUACCCGGUUGGGAUGACGGUACCCAAAGAAUAAGCACCGGCUAACUUCGUGCCAGCCGCCGCAGUAA
rnacentral:rRNA from 1 species